GACGAACGCUGGCGGCGUGCCUAAUACAUGCAAGUCGAACGAGAGCGACCGGUGCUUGCCCUGGUCACUCUAGUGGCGAACGGGUGAGUAACACGUGGGUAACCUGCCCAUCAGAGGGGGAUAACAUCCGGAAACGGAUGCUAAAACCGCAUAGGUCUUCGAACCGCAUGGUUUGAAGAGGAAAAGAGGCGCAAGCUUCUGCUGAUGGAUGGACCCGCGGUGCAUUAGCUAGUUGGUGAGGUAACGGCUCACCAAGGCCGUGAUGCAUAGCCGACCUGAGAGGGUGAUCGGCCACAUUGGAACUGAGACACGGCCCAGACUCCUACGGGAGGCAGCAGUAGGGAAUCUUCCGCAAUGGACGCAAGUCUGACAGAGCAACGCCGCGUGAGUGAUGAAGGUUUUCGGAUCGUAAAACUCUGUUGUUAGGGAAGAACAAGUGCUAGAGUAACUGUUAGCGCCUUGACGGUAUCUAACCAGAAAGCCACGGCUAACUACGUG
rnacentral:rRNA from 1 species